UCCGGCCAUUUGCGAGUGGCUCACAAUUAGCUGGCCACCAAAUUAUAUCCAGAUUCGAAAGCAGAGGAGACUAAACACAAUCAUGGCUGUAGAUCCGAUCCGAUCCCAUUAUCUAAAGCUCGGGACGAGACAAGCGGCCAGUUCCUGUCGCCCGAAAUUGGCAAGAAAAGCAGCUCAGCGGCCCAAAAAAGAAAUGCUAAUGAGCAGCCAACAAACGAGUCGAAACGAAAACUGUUUGCCAGUCCAUUGUUGAGUGACUAGUAACUAAAGUGACUGCACCGGGAGAAAUAUUAUUUCAUGCUUAUGUCGACAUUUGCAGAUACCAAAAUCAAAUGUUCCAAUGUUACUAAUAUUUAUUUAUUGAAAUGAAAGCUUUUAUACACCCUGCACUACAAAAUGUUAAUUAAUGAAACCAACUAUGAAGGCAAAGAAUAUUGUUGAUUUUCAAAAACAACGAACCCUUUUCUUAUAUUUAAAUUGUUCCCGACUGCCAACUGAAUGCCUGAAUGACCGACUGAAUGAAUAAAGGAGGGUACUCCUCUCCAUGAAGCGACGCACAAUUCAAUUGAAACUGUUGCCCGGAUCGGGACUGGGCUUCGAAGUGAGUUUGGGAAGUGGAUGUGGAACUGGAAGAACUGCUGGCUUACCUUACCUUUCAAAUUGAUGAACAGCAACAAAGGCUGCCCGGGGACAAAAGAAAACCAGGCAUAGAAAAGCGACUUUCAAAGUUUCCAACGCGACAAUGAUCUGAGGGCAAGAAACGCCGAACAGUUGGUGACAACAAAACGGGCCAACAAUAAAAAUGAGUCCAGCCAAGAGAAAACCAUAAAAGAUUUUCCCGUUUUAUGAGGCCGUCCGACCCCUUGGCUGUUUUCAGUGUGAGUAUGCGCUUUUACGAAAUUCAAAAAGCAAUUUACCAAAGGCAUCGCUGCCCCGGCUCCAAGCCAAACGAAGAUCUCGGGUCUUGAGCUCUAAGUGCCUCCAAAGGACGAGGAACAGGUCGAGGCGUCAGAGCUCAGAAGGAGACUCGGAAAGCAAGACAAAAGCGAGGUCUUCAGGGAACACAUAUGACAGUUUUACGAGCUAACGAAAGUGGUUCGGCCUGCCAGGCGAAGUAGAGGUCCCGAGAUAAUGCCGACAUAUUUGGGCUUUUACGAUCCCGCCGCCUCCGAUGCCAUUGCAUAUUGGGAAAAUUGUAAAUCACACUUGCCUACGGACCCACGGACAGAUAUCCGCAGUGUUGCCCCACAUUGGAGCAGACCGCACGAUAAAGCAUCGCACAUAAGAUGUGUAUUAGCGUGUCUGUUAAAUUGUUUUUAGUUGCCGACGCGUCUGCAAAUGAGCCAUUGUUGAAAGGGCGGGGAUAGGGGGGGAAAUGGCAUAUGGAGGAGAAAGGGGCCUCUGUCAGUACGGGGAAACUGGGGUACUUAAGUGUCGGCACUGAAGCGCUUUAAAUGUUGCUACUUGCCCCUGCGUAUGUCUGUGUGAACCCAUUCUCGUCUGAUGUUGCAUUACGAAAUGGUUUCAUGCAUCUGCAAUCCAUACACACCGACUUUGGGUACGGAUGGUGGGAGGUGGAAUGUGUGGCUGGGUGGGUGCCAAAUGGUGUGAGGAGGUGUCGACGGUGGGUGUUACAUGGCAAGGGGUGGUGUGAACUUUCUGUGAAUGGCCAUUUAUCGGUGCAAUUGUGUUUGAAGCUCGUAACUACCGCCAUGUUCGAUAAUUUACAAUGUGCCCGGCUUCUGUUAGUGGUGCUCUAGGUGUGAAGUGAUCCGU